AUGGGACACCAUCCAAGUGAUUUUCUUUCAUCCAUGGCCGAUAAGAGUACAUCACUCAAGGAUUUGUUGGACAUCCGGAUCCCACUCCCAGCGGCUGAAGUCGCAAGCAAAGUAUUCAAAGUGAUCGCGUUUGCUGCUCGGUGCAUAGAACCAAAUCCAUCACGCCGUCCAACAAUGCAACAAGCAAUCAAGGUGUUCACUGCUGCUGGAGGACCUGAUAAUCAUGUCGAUUAUCUGCACACUGGCAUUGUUAUCCCUGCCUGCUGGUCGUGA
rnacentral:rRNA from 1 species